rnacentral:rRNA from 1 species
CCUACGGGAGGCAGCAGUGGGGAAUAUUGCACAAUGGGGGAAACCCUGAUGCAGCGACGCCGCGUGAGUGAAGAAGUAAUUCGUUAUGUAAAGCUCUAUCAGCAGGGAAGAAAAUGACGGUACCUGAGUAAGAAGCCCCGGCUAACUACGUGCCAGCCGCCGCGGUAAUACGUAGGGGGCAAGCGUUAUCCGGAUUUACUGGGGGUAACGGGAGCGUAGACGGAAGUGCAAGUUUGGAGUGAAAGGCGGGGGCUCAACCCCGGGACUGCUCUGGAAACUGUAUGGCUGGAGUGCAGGAGAGGUAAGUGGAAUUCCUAGUGUAGCGGUGAAAUGCGUAGAUAUUAGGCAGAACACCAGUGGCGAAGGCGGCUUACUGGACUGUAACUGACGUUGAGGCUCGAAAGCAUGGGGAGCAAACAGGAUUAGAUACCCUAGUAGUC